rnacentral:rRNA from 1 species
GACGAACGCUGGCGGCGUGCUUAACACAUGCAAGUCGAACGGAAAGGCCCUGCUUUUGUGGGGUGCUCGAGUGGCGAACGGGUGAGUAACACGUGAGUAACCUGCCCCUGACUUUGGGAUAACUUCAGGAAACUGGGGCUAAUACCGGAUAGGAGCUCCUGCUUCAUGGUGGGGGUUGGAAAGUUUCGGCGGUUGGGGAUGGACUCGCGGCUUAUCAGCUUGUUGGUGGGGUAGUGGCUUACCAAGGCUUUGACGGGUAGCCGGCCUGAGAGGGUGACCGGCCACAUUGGGACUGAGAUACGGCCCAGACUCCUACGGGAGGCAGCAGUGGGGAUUAUUGCACAAUGGGCGGAAGCCUGAUGCAGCAACGCCGCGUGCGGGAUGACGGCCUUCGGGUUGUAAACCGCUUUCGCCUGUGACGAAGCGUGAGUGACGGUAAUGGGUAAAGAAGCACCGGCUAACUACGUG